GAGGAGUCUGUGUCUGAGAGGAGACCACCCUCUCCUGCACCCACCAGUGUGUCUAUGAAGAGUGAUGACUCCAUGUGUCGUCCCAUUAGUUUUAAAAGAGGAGACUCUUCACCUCAACACUCUACCCGGCGUAAGAGAUCCCGAUCUGCUGUAGUGAACCCGUGUGAGCCCUUGAAGAAACAGCAGCAGAGGAUGGAGGAGUCUGUGUCUAAGAGGAGACCACCCUCUCCUGUACCCUCCUGUGUGUCCAUGAAGAGUGAUGUGUCCAUGGAUCCCCCCAUUAGUUUUAAAAGAGUAGACUCUUCACC